CUGAAACAUCUAAGUACCCCGAGGAAAAGAAAUCAACCGAGAUUCCCCCAGUAGCGGCGAGCGAACGGGGAGGAGCCCAGAGCCUGAAUCAGCAUGUGUGUUAGUGGAAGCGUCUGGAAAGGCGCGCGAUACAGGGUGACAGCCCCGUACACAAAAGCGCAUGUGCUGUGAGCUCGAUGAGUAGGGCGGGACACGUGGUAUCCUGUCUGAAUAUGGGGGGACCAUCCUCCAAGGCUAAAUACUCCUGACUGACCGAUAGUGAACCAGUACCGUGAGGGAAAGGCGAAAAGAACCCCGGCGAGGGGAGUGAAACAGAACCUGAAACCGUGUACGUACAAGCAGUGGGAGCACAGGUUUACCUGUGUGACUGCGUACCUUUUGUAUAAUGGGUCAGCGACUUAUAUUCUGUAGCA
rnacentral:rRNA from 1 species